AACGUAGGAGGCGAGCGUUAUCCGGAUUCACUGGGCGUAAAGCGCGUGCAGGUGGCUUGGUAAGUUAGGCGUGAAAUCUCCCGGCUCAACUGGGAUAGGUCGUCUAAUACUACCGGGCUAGAGAACAGAAGAGGAAGAUGGAAUUCCCGGUGUAGUGGUGAAAUGCGUAGAUAUCGGGAGGAACACCAGUGGCGAAGGCGAUCUUCUGGUCUGUUUCUGACACUCAGACGCGACAGCUAGGGUAGUAAACGGG
rnacentral:rRNA from 1 species